ACUCUGAGACAGGUGCUGCAUGGCUGUCGUCAGCUCGUGUUGUGAAUGUUGGGUUAAGUCCCGCAACGAGCGCAACCCUUAUCCUUGUUUGCCAGCGAGUAAUGUCGGGAACUCCAGGGAGACUGCCGGUGAUAAACCGGAGGAAGGUGGGGACGACGUCAAGUCAUCAUGGCCCUUACGAGUAGGGCUACACACGUGCUACAAUGGCGCAUACAGAGGGCGGCCAACUUGCGAGAGUGAGCGAAUCCCAAAAAGUGCGUCGUAGUCCGGAUUGGAGUCUGCAACUCGACUCCAUGAAGUCGGAAUCGCUAGUAAUCGUGGAUCAGAAUGCCACGGUGAAUACGUUCCCGGGCCUUGUACACACCGCCCGUCACACCAUGGGAGUGGGCUGCAAAAGAAGUAGGUAGUUUUACCUUCGGGGGGACGCUU
rnacentral:rRNA from 1 species